CUUCUCGAACACGCAUUUCUCAGACUUCCCUUUAUCUCUCCCUUUUUCUUCUCUUUCUCUUUUUCUCUAUAUUUCUUUGUGUCUUGUGAAGAACAACAACAAGAACAUGAAGAGCAAAUGAAGAACAAGAAGCAAUUUUGUUUGAGGGGAAUGUUGUCUGGCUCGAGGUCACUUUUUUCUCUAAAAUUAAUUCCAUCUUUCGUUUUAAUUUCAAACAAAUUACUACGAUCGACGAAUUGAUUCAUUCGAAACGAAGUGUCGUCGGACCAGGCUUCAUUCCCCCCACAAAUUUUGCUUCAAUUACUCAAUCCAUCAACAAAAAGCGCAAAACCCCCAAAUCGAUUUUCUUCAUGGGGUUGUUGAUUACUUUGAUCUCCUCUUCAAGAUCUACAGUUUUGUGGAUUUCACUGUUUAUUUCUGAGGCUUUUACAUUAUCUGAGAAUUGCAGCCUUCAAACUGAAGUUCAUUGAAAGGGGUAAGUUUGGUAUAGUCUUAGUUUUACAGAGAAUCUAAUGAAAACUUGAGAUUUUAAUGCAAUAACUAGUACUGUGCAUGUUUCACUCUUUAGACCACUUUGAAAAGAUACAUGACUUUGUAAUAACUUGAAUUUACAUUAUUACAUUAUGAUUAAAAGAGUUAGCCUAUCCCCUAUUCUAUUCUGUUCCUACUUGCUUUGAUCUAUUAUUUACAUACAUGACAUGUUGAUCAUUGAAUGAAUAUACAAGUUUUGACAAAAGAUGUGACAUAACUAAUGGGUAAAUGAGAUAAAAUUGAAACCCAGAUCUAACAAAAUUUUUGGUUUAGUGUCUAUUCUUUUUGCUCAUUCUAUAUCAUUUUUUUAUUGAAUUGUCAAUUGUGAUUGUGUUUGUGUAUGUUCUGUUCGUUGAGUAUCGUUGAUUCUAUUAGAUUCAUAUUCAUAUCAAAAUGAUUAAAAAAAUAUUCAAAACUUUAACAAGUAACAACGUAAGUCCUUAUAUAUUUUCAAUUUAUAAUGAUUUAAUUAAUUUAAUAAAAUUUCUUACAUGAUUAGAGUUACAAAUCGGUAAGCUGUAAAUAAUAAAGAAUAAAUACUUUAUUUUGAUGAAAAUUUUCGACUACACCAUUAAAAAUUAAAUAGCAUAGAGACUAAGUUAUUAUACUCGUUGAAUUUUACAGAUGAAAUAGUUACAAACUGGGAAGGACCCAAAUUGUUAUUUUUGAAGGGUUUAGUGAUGGAAAGUGUUCUUUAAUGGGAGAAAAAGGUCAAUAGAAUCAAAAUGAUAAUGGAAGCUAAAGAAAAAGGAAGAAGGAAGAGGAAAGAGAGUGAUUGAAAAGGUGAGGAGAGAGAAAUUAAUGGAGGGGAGGGAAGAGAAGGUGAUGGGUUGAGUUGUAGGGUUGGGUGUCUCAUUGUGUCAUCAAAUUUUGAAACUGAGACAUAUGCUUCCCAUCUUCACUCAUAAAUGUUUUCAAUAAUAAUAAUAAUAAUAAUUAAUUCUUUCAAGAAAGAAAUAAUUAAUUCAUUAUUGUCUCUUCUCUCUCUUGCCUUCCUUUUUCACUCUGUAAAAAUCUGAAUCAUUUGUGUUAAAUUAGAGAAGUCAACAUCACCAUUUACACACCAUGCAAAA